UAUAACUUUCAACAACGGAUCUCUUGGCUCUCGCAUCGAUGAAGAACGCAGCGAAAUGCGAUACGUAAUGUGAAUUGCAGAAUUCAGUGAAUCAUCGAAUCUUUGAACGCACCUUGCGCCCCUUGGCAUUCCGAGGGGCACACCCGUUUGAGUGUCGUGA
rnacentral:rRNA from 1 species